AAAAAAAAAAAAGUAACAAGGUUUCCGUAGGUGAACCUGCGGAAGGAUCAUUACUGAUUUGCUUAAUUGCACCACAUGUGUUUUUUAUUGAACAAAUUUCUUUGGUGGCGGGAGCAAUCCUACCGCCAGAGGUUAUAACUAAACCAAACUUUUUAUUUACAGUCAAACUUGAUUUAUUAUUACAAUAGUCAAAACUUUCAACAACGGAUCUCUUGGUUCUCGCAUCGAUGAAGAACGCAGCGAAAUGCGAUACGUAAUAUGAAUUGCAGAUAUUCGUGAAUCAUCGAAUCUUUGAACGCACAUUGCGCCCUUUGGUAUUCCAAAGGGCAUGCCUGUUUGAGCGUCAUUUCUCCCUCAAACCCCCGGGUUUGGUGUUGAGCAAUACGCUAGGUUUGUUUGAAAGAAUUUACGUGGAAACUUAUUUUAAGCGACUUAGGUUUAUCCAAAAACGCUUAUUUUGCUAGUGGCCACCACAAUUUAUUUCAUAACUUUGACCUCAAAUCAGGUAGGACUACCCGCUGAACUUAAGCAUAUCAA
rnacentral:rRNA from 1 species